GCGCGGCGGAGAAAGGCUGAGAGAGAAGGCGUGUACGGUGGCUCCCGUGGUCCAAAUCCUGUCGUUGUCUCGCGUUACCUCGCCACGGCGCCCGAGGGGAAUGCUUCCGACUCUGGAUACCCAGGGCUGGCAGGAAAACGCGGCAAUCAGUGAAGAAUAACGUCUCACAACGAAGAGGUUGGGGUGUUUUUUUUUUUUUUCUCAUCAGCAAAAUAAAUGGAAAUUCUGAUUCUCAAAUGCAUAUGGCAAUCAAGGGGCCCCAAAUAGCCAAACAAUCUUG